CUAUUCUGAAAAGCUCUGUGGAUACCAGGAGAAUUUCAAAAGCCCGUAUAGCUUGCAGCGGCAGUUCUUAUCCUUAAGCAGUCAGAAAGCUUCAGAGGCUGAAACAGAAUUUCACCAGUGGAUCAGCUUAUGCAGAAGAGACCCACAAAGAGGAGAAACUGACUAUACAGGAGGAGCAGAGCAACUGACUACGCAAAGGGCUAUGAAAUGCACACAUGGAUUGAAGGGAGAGUGACGUGUGAAAAUAUCCGACCCUGCAACAGUCACAACACAUACUUGUGCAGCUUGCCAACUCCCAGCAAGCCAGAAUACGUGUGCUUGUUACCUCUGCUUUUACCGCAAGUAAGUGUACCUCUUUUGGUGGCCAGCUGGCACUUGAUAAGAUUUUGUACCCUCUGUGUUACCUUGUGGUCUAUUUAUUUUUACUCUGAAAAGCUCAUUUUAAAAUGACCAAGUCCUGAAGUGCAAUGACUUUGCU